rnacentral:rRNA from 1 species
AGCGAACGCUGGCGGCAUGCCUAACACAUGCAAGUCGAACGAAGGCUUCGGCCUUAGUGGCGCACGGGUGCGUAACGCGUGGGAAUCUGCCCCUCGGUUCGGAAUAACAGUUAGAAAUGACUGCUAAUACCGGAUGAUGACUUCGGUCCAAAGAUUUAUCGCCGAGGGAUGAGCCCGCGUAAGAUUAGGUAGUUGGUGGGGUAAAGGCCUACCAAGCCGACGAUCUUUAGCUGGUCUGAGAGGAUGAUCAGCCACAAUGGGACUGAGACACGGCCCAGACUCCUACGGGAGGCAGCAGUGGGGAAUAUUGGACAAUGGGCGAAAGCCUGAUCCAGCAAUGCCGCGUGAGUGAUGAAGGCCUUAGGGUUGUAAAGCUCUUUUACCAGGGAUGAUAAUGACAGUACCUGGAGAAUAAGCUCCGGCUAACUCCGUGCCAGCAGCCGCCGUAA